CACUUUACCUGAGGCUCAAAACACAGCUUUAUCAACACUGACAGGCUGACAACAUAGCUGACAAAACACAAUAUGCCACAAGAACUGCAGGACUCUUGAAGGUAGAAGAACAGCAAGUAUCAAUUGCCACCAUGACAGUGCAUCACGGGCUGUACUGAACAAAUCAAGACUCCAUGAUCCCCAUUCAUAAGAUGAUCUGCUAGCUGGAGAGCCAAGGAGUGGUCAGCAAGACUCGUUCACCCUUCAACAGCCCCAUUUGUCCCAUGUAUAAGUCUAAUGGAGAAUGGAGAUUGACAGUGGAGUAUCAUGGCUUGAAGAAAAUUAUCCCA